rnacentral:rRNA from 1 species
GACGAACGCUGGCGGCGUGCCUAAUACAUGCAAGUAGAACGCUGAAGGAGGAGCUUGCUUCUCUGGAUGAGUUGCGAACGGGUGAGUAAUGCGUAGGUAACCUGCCUGGUAGCGGGGGAUAACUAUUGGAAACGAUAGCUAAUACCGCAUAAGAGUAGAUGUUGCAUGACAUUUGCUUAAAAGGUGCAAUUGCAUCACUACCAGAUGGACCUGCGUUGUAUUAGCUAGUUGGUGGGGUAACGGCUCACCAAGGCGACGAUACAUAGCCGACCUGAGAGGGUGAUCGGCCACACUGGGACUGAGACACGGCCCAGACUCCUACGGGAGGCAGCAGUAGGGAAUCUUCGGCAAUGGACGGAAGUCUGACCGAGCAACGCCGCGUGAGUGAAGAAGGUUUUCGGAUCGUAAAGCUCUGUUGUAAGAGAAGAACGAGUGUGAGAGUGGAAAGUUCACACUGUGGCGGUAUCUUACCAGAAAGGGACGGCUAACUACGUG